rnacentral:ncRNA from 2 species
GUGAAGACACGUGGUGAUUUGCGGCAUAUUGCGGCCACGCUAAACAAGUCGCUAAAAAGCCUGCCCUGGCGCAGCU